UCGGUAAUUUGGAGGCAUUGCCUGCCAGUGACAACUGUUUAACGGCCGCGGUAUCCUGACCGUGCAAAGGUAGCAUAAUCAUUUGUUCUCUAAAUAAGGACUUGUAUGAAUGGCCGCACGAGGGUUUUACUGUCUCUUACUUCCAAUCAGUGAAAUUGACCUUCCCGUGAAGAGGCGGGAAUGCACAAAUAAGACGAGAAGACCCUAUGGAGCUUUAACUAACCAACCCAAAGAGAAUAGAUUUAACCAUUAAGGAAUAACAACAAUCUCCAUGAGUUGGUAGUUUCGGUUGGGGUGACCUCGGAGAAUAAAAAAUCCUCCGAGCGAUUUUAAAGACUAGACCCACAAGUCAAAUCACUCUAUCGCUCAUUGAUCCAAAAACUUGAUCAACGGAACAAGUUACCCUAGGGAUAACAGCGCAAUCCUAUUCAAGAGUCCAUAUCGACAAUAGGGUUUACGACCUCGAUGUUGGAUCAGGACAUCCUGAUGGUGCAACCGCUAUCAAAGGUUCGUUUGUUCAACGAUUAAAGUCCUACGUGAUCUGAGUUCAGACCGG
rnacentral:rRNA from 1 species